UACAGAGGGUGCAAGCGUUGUUCGGAAUUAUUGGGCGUAAAGGGUGCGUAGGUGGUGCGGUAAGUCUGUAGUGAAAUCUCUGGGCUCAACUCAGAGUCUGCUAUAGAAACUGCCGUGCUUGAGUGUGGGAGAGGUGAGUGGAAUUCCCGGUGUAGCGGUGAAAUGCGUAGAUAUUGGGAAGAACACCGGUGGCGAAGGCGGCCAACUGGACCACAACUGACGCUGAGGCGCGAAAGCGUGGGGAGCAAACAGG
rnacentral:rRNA from 1 species